CAGUAGCCGCGGGAAUACGGAGGGUGCAAGCGUUAAUCGGAAUUACUGGGCGUAAAGCGCACGCAGGCGGUUUGUUAAGUCAGAUGUGAAAUCCCCGAGCUUAACUUGGGAACUGCAUUUGAAACUGGCAAGCUAGAGUCUUGUAGAGGGGGGUAGAAUUCCAGGUGUAGCGGUGAAAUGCGUAGAGAUCUGGAGGAAUACCGGUGGCGAAGGCGGCCCCCUGGACAAAGACUGACGCUCAGGUGCGAAAGCGUGGGGAGCAAACAGGAUUAGAGACCCCUGUAGUCCCUGUCUCUUAUAC
rnacentral:rRNA from 1 species